UAGCGCCCCGACCCCACCUUUCUAUCUCCCUCUCUCAACGCUGCAGUAGCCGUCAAUUUCUCGCCGGCGUUCUACCCGUCCGGGCUCCAAUGGCCUCCGUUUUUGUCCCAAAAUGUUCCCCUGCUUUUCCUCUACCUAUUCCAUCAAAAUUAAGUCCAUCCUACCGCAAUGGAAUACGGUGGCUCGUUCGAAAGAAAUCCCAGAAAUAGCGGCCGAUUUCGAGCUAUUUUCGGUGGCGGUUGCCGUCGCCACCUAUUGGGUUUUGAUCCCCGCCCUCGAAGGAAGCUAAUCCACCAAAGAGCCCCCUCAUUGGUCCACCGGCGACGGAGAAUCGAAGCUGGAGAUUUUUCACAGCCACCGAAGCUUUUCCGGCGAGAUUUCGGAAAAUCCGGCCACCAUCGACCCUCGACCCAGGUAUAUCGAGAAAGGGAUGUUUGUGGAAGUGGGCAAAGGAAUAUCACCUAACUUUGAACGAGUUUUGGAAUUACUGUUGAAUAAGGAAGAGUUUCUGGCUUUUGCACCAGACACCGAAGAAACAAGGUCAAUGAUUAACAUAAUAUCGGUUAAAUUUCCCCUCUUGAAGAAUGUUUCUAGAGUUUACAAAGAUGAACAGGAGCUGGAAACCUAUAUAGGCUCAGAUCUCUAUGGUACCUGCAAUCAAAUAAUAUCCUAAAUACAUUUAUGGUAUCCAAUUGGAAUACGGAAUAUCAUUAUAAGUUUUUGAAAAAAAAGGAGCUAACUAUCAUACCUGCACCAAUUAAAUGUUUAUCAUAAUGUGGAUAACUGUGCUGGAGAUAUUACAUUGGUUAUGGAAUUGCUCGAAUAAAAAAUCAGAGCAGUAGUAUUUCAUGACCAAGGUCCCCAAUCUUUUGAUUAUAGCAUAUGUCUCAAUCACACAUGGGCUUUCUCAGGAUUUCCUGACGUUAAAUCCAUCAUGGACACAAAUGGUCCCUAACAUAAUGACUUGGAACUGGGCGUAAAUACAAUUCCAACAAUGCAAUACAGCUUCAGCGGUUUCUUAACUGCAUCUUUUGGGAUUUCUCUACCCAAUUUCUCGGUUGAUCAGCUAUUCUGUGUUUGAGAAGGAACAGAAGAUAAGAGAAGGUCUUUAUAUGAUGGGGCUGGAAGAUGGGAUAUUCCAUCUCAUGGUUUAUUGCAUAUGAUUUGCAGGUUGGUUCUUUGUUCUUUUGUAUUUUUGUUUAAUUUAUGAAGAAGUCUCAGCAAGAAUUCAAUCAAUGUAACCCCAUUUUUUAUAUAAUGUUUUUAUAUUAUAAAUUUAUUAUUUAAAUAAUUAUUG